UCUGUUUAAAGGAGUGACCUCCAAUUCAGAUGCUGCACAGCUUGCAGAGACCCUUAUACAGAAUAACUAUAAGACCAAGGUCGUUGGUGUGCCAGUUUCAUUGAAUGGUGACCUCAAGAACUAGUUCGUUGAAACAACAGUUGGAUUUGAUACAGUGUGCAAGGUUAAUUCACAGCUUGUAAGCAAUGUUUGCCUCGAUGCAAUCUCAGCUGGAAAGGUUAAUUCCGCUCAUAUUUGUACCUCUUCACCAUGGUUAGCUAUUGCUCUCAUUUUUGUUGAAAUUAGUUGUCACUUCUUUAUAAUUGAACAAUGUCCAUGCACGAUGUAUGAAAAUUACAGAGAAAUUAGAUGUAAAGUUGUAGACAAAUUACUUGUGAAAAUUAGCUGAUGGCCUUUCUGUUUGGUUCUUCAUUACAACAGUAAACACUAGGAAAGAACGUGCAAUAGGUACACAUCUAAAAGUUCUUUUAGGUUGUGCAAUGUAU